UGCCUAACACAUGCAAGUCGAGCGGAAACGACACUAACAAUCCUUCGGGUGCGUUAAUGGGCGUCGAGCGGCGGACGGGUGAGUAAUGCCUAGGAAAUUGCCUURAUGUGGGGGAUAACCAUUGGAAACGAUGGCUUAAUACCGCAUGAUGCCUACGGGCCAAAGAGGGGGACCUUCGGGCCUCUCGCGUCAAGAUAUGCCUAGGUGGGAUUAGCUAGUUGGUGAGGUAAUGGCUCACCAAGGCGACGAUCCCUAGCUGGUCUGAGAGGAUGAUCAGCCACACUGGAACUGAGACACGGUCCAGACUCCUACGGGAGGCAGCAGUGGGGAAUAUUGCACAAUGGGCGAAAGCCUGAUGCAGCCAUGCCGCGUGUAUGAAGAAGGCCUUCGGGUUGUAAAGUACUUUCAGUUGUGAGGAAGGGUGUGUAGUUAAUAGCUGCGCAUCUUGACGUUAGCAACAGAAGAAGCACCGGCUAACUCCGUGCCAGCAGCCGCGGUAAUACGGAGGGUGCGAGCGUUAAUCGGAAUUACUGGGCGUAAAGCGCAUGCAUUCRRUWCAUUAAGUCAGAUGUGAAAGCCCG
rnacentral:rRNA from 1 species